CUCAGGUGCCAAUCUUUAAGGAAAAAAAAAGAAUAUUCUUCCCCUGGAUCUCCAAUGUGUCUGCUUCCUUCUCACCAGUCAAAUCUUCCCCCUAGUAGUUAAUAUGCCUAAAAUUAUUAUCUUAUUAAAAUUAGACCUGUGUAUCUGUUUGUUUACACCUCUAUUGUCUGUCUUCCCCCAGUGGAAUGUGGGUUCCUUGCAGGCUGGGCCUCUACGUGCUUUGUUCCAGGUGUCACACUGCGUGGCACGUGAUGGGCAGUAGAUAAAUAUUUGGUGACUGGCGGCUGUGUAGGAAUUGAGAUGGCAGAUGGUUUGGCUGAAGUAGGAACGUGGUUUGAAAGUAGCAGUGGAACGGUAGAAUUUUUGCAAGAACCUAUUCAGAUAUCACUUGUGUGCUUAAAAACGAGUAAGUGAACAGGAGCGGCAAUGGGAAGCUAGGAAAUAUCGCAGCCAAAAUAUGGUGAAUCACACAAUUUUAGAAUUGGAAAGAAGCUUAAAGAGCAUCGAAUCACAGUGGUCUCAGUAGACAGAUUAGGAAAUGGAGUCUUCUCCAGAAAGGUGACUGGCGUGGCCCAGUCCCACUGGCGGUUAGUGACCCAGCCCGAGCACACCUUCUAUUGCCUUCCCCUGAUUUUGAACUUUUUUGGAAACUCAUUAGUUGUCUUAGAAAUUAGUUGGGACAUUCCAGAUCUCUCUCUACGCUUUCUGAAGAUUACAAUGAUCUCUUGCUGGGAAAUAAUGCGUGGAGUUUGCCCUCCCCUUGGCUCAUGCCCCCCAACGUUGGAAGAGUGUGAGUGACGGAGUGCUUAGCUGUGCCUCGCAUUGCAAAGCUUCUCUCCGUCUGAAACAAUGGGGUCUAAGUGCCUCUCUGGGCUCCAGGUAAUUAUUUCCCUGUGAAGGCUCAGGUUCGGAGUGUCAGAACUGUAUGAGGCGAGGAGACACUGCAUCAGACUUAUGAUUCCUUACCUUUUUUUGGGGUAAAUCUUACAGAAAGCAGUGGUCUAUUUGUUUUGUAAAGGAUCUAGCCCCGAUCUGGAAUAGAGAGAGAGAAUGCCCCAACUGGCACUCAGCAAACAGGACGGGUGUGCUCCCCAGCCGUGUGGCUGUCCUGUCCUGCUCUCACUCAGCAGCAGGCGAUUGUUCAGGGCUUCUUGGCCUCAGACCCAAGGGCAGAGCUGCCAGACAGAGGCGUUUUUCCCAGAAGCCCUUGGAAGGAGCACAAUCCAAACUUGUUUCUAGAAUAGUGAGGCGGCGAAACCCUCCCUGGCUGCCCAUCUCCCAGCUCACGGCUGAAGUGACCUCAGUGGAUUCAUGGAGGAGCCUCCAGCAAGAAUAGAAGCUUCUUGGGCUCAGGAGCCUCAGCCUGAUGCGCUGCUCUGACCACUGCCUCUGGAACGUCAGGUGCUUAGUGAAUAUUUGCUGCAUGAAGACGGGUCUGCUGUGAAGAAUGAGCUUGGGGGAAGGAGUAGAAAAGGAAAGGAGCAUGAGGAGGACUGGGACAUCACCUGAAGGAGAGCACGCUGGGCGGUGAGCGAAAGAAAAUUAACAGGUUGCUGAACGGCGCAGGAGCGCUGAAGGCCCCUGGACUUGGCCCUCAACUUGGCAGUGACAUCCAUCUACUUUGCUCUGUGAUUUUUUUCUCCCACAGGGUUCAAAAGUCCUGGGAUAAGAGUGAAAAACACA